GGGCCCGCACAAGCGGUGGAGUAUGUGGUUUAAUUCGAUGCAACGCGAAGAACCUUACCAGGGCUUAAAUGCAGUCUGACAGGAGUGGAAACACUCUCUUCUUCGGACAGAUUGCAAGGUGCUGCAUGGUUGUCGUCAGCUCGUGCCGUGAGGUGUCAGGUUAAGUCCUAUAACGAGCGCAACCCCUUUCGUUAGUUGCCAGCGAGUCAUGUCGGGAACUCUAGCGAGACUGCCGGUGCAAACCGUGAGGAAGGUGGGGAUGACGUCAAAUCAUCACGGCCCUUACGUCCUGGGCCACACACGUGCUACAAUGGUAGGGACAGAGGGCAGCUACCCCGCGAGGGGAUGCGAAUCUUCAAACCCUAUCACAGUUCGGAUCGCAGUCUGCAACUCGACUGCGUGAAGCUGGAAUCGCUAGUAAUCG
rnacentral:rRNA from 1 species